ACGUUAUCAAGAAAGGUUGAGGGAUUAGACCCUGUGAAACCUUGGCAACCCUCCCCUGGAGAAGGUGCUACAUUCUACCGCACGCAUUGUGCAGAUAGAUAACAA
rnacentral:ncRNA from 2 species